CUCGGAAACCCCAGCGAUCGAUUUCCGAAGGCCGGGCCGAGCGAGCGCGUGUCCUGCAGUCUCGGGCCGCACCUCCAUCCCCAUGGCUUCGCAAGGCGUGGACCCGAGAGGGCUGGGAGAUGACGAGCUGCACUGCCUCCUCAGAGAGCUAGACGAAGUGAUCAGAGACUUCGAUAACGGCAGCAGCUGUCAGUAUGAGGAACAUCUGGAGGAGCUCAAGCAGAAGAGUGGCCUCGGCCUCGGCGUCUAUGACAGUGGGAUCGAUGAGGCUGAGAGUACCAGCCCAUCUCCAGGGAGCAGCUUAAACACCAGUGAGGAAAACAUUCACAUGCCAGCAACUUCUUCUGUUCCCAAAGCUAAGCUUGGAGACACAAAGGACCUGGAGGAUUACAUUGCUGACCUCGACAAAGAGCUGGAGGGUGAGUCCAUUCGCCAACGUUCUCCUUGCAAUUUGAGAAAAAUGGCAGCUUGAACAUGGGAUGGCUCUAGCCCUUGGCUGAUUUGCCAGUGACUUGGAAAGAGGAUUUUGGUAUAAAUGUAGAGUCCUGAACCAAAGUCAUUUCAGUCUAACAGCCUUCUGUCCACAUCUCUCCAUUCACACCACAACCACCUGUCACUUGGCCCUGGACCAUUGCCUCAACUUCCUUCCUCCAUCCAGCCUCUCCCUGCUCUAAUCCAUCUUCUAUAUAGCCACCAAAGGAAUUUCCCUAAAGUGCAGGCCUAACCAUGUCACUCUGUUCAGGAAGCUCAGAGGCAAAGCAGGAUAAAGGCAUGAAGCCUGUGGCCAAGAGGUUAGAGCCCAAAGAGGAACCCUGCCUCCCAGCCCCCUUCUAAAGACAGACCAUGAAGGCCUAAGGCCUAGCGGCUACAGCUGGAGGUUUCCUAUGUGGUGUACCUCAUGGUGGGUCUUGGGCCUUCCCCAGUCUCUCUUGCGGCUGAUCCCCCAUUCAGCUGGAGGAGAAGAGCCAGCAGCCUGCAGUCAGGGCCUUUCCUACUCUUAAAUAAAAGUUGGUUCUGAGACUACA
rnacentral:lncRNA from 1 species